rnacentral:rRNA from 1 species
GAAACUGCCGGUAAUACCGGAUAAUGUCUCCGGACCAAAGGUGUGAUUCCGCCUAGGGAUGGGUUCGCGGCCUAUUAGCUUGUUGGUGGGGUAAUGGCCUACCAAGGCUGAGAUGGGUACCGGGUGUGAGAGCAUGACCCGGCUCACUGGGACUGAGACACUGCCCAGACACCUACGGGUGGCUGCAGUCGAGAAUCUUCCGCAAUGGACGCAAGUCUGACGGAGCGACGCCGCGUGCGGGAUGAAGGCCCUCGGGUUGUAAACCGCUGUCAGUGGGGAGCAAAUGCAUGGGGGCUAUCUUCCAUGUUUGAGCGAUCCGCAGAGGAAGCGCAGGCUAAGUUCGUGCCAGCAGCCGCGGUAAGACGAACUGCGCGAACGUUAUUCGGAAUCACUGGGCUUAAAGAGUCCGUAGGCGGCCUGGUAGGUGGGGUGUGAAAGCCCACGGCUCAACCGUGGAAUUGCGCUCCAAACCGCCUGGCUCGAGGGAGAAAGAGGUGAGCGGAACUGAUGGUGGAGCGGUGAAAUGCGUUGAUAUCAUCAGGAAACACCGGUGGCGAAAGCGGCUCACUGGGUCUCUUCUGACGCUGAGGGACGAAAGCUAGGGGAGCGAACGGGAUUAGAUA